GUAGGGAAUAUUGCACAAUGGAGGAAACUCUGAUGCAGCGACGCCGCGUGAGUGAUGAAGGCCUUCUGGUCGUAAAACUCUGUGAUAAGGGAAGAUGAUGACGGUACCUUAUCAGAAAAGACCGGCUAACUUCGUGCCAGCAGCCGCGGUAAUACGAGGGGUCUAAGCGUUGUUCGGAAUCACUGGGCGUAAAGCGGGUGUAGGUGGCUAUGCAAGUUGGAUGUGAAAGCCGCGGGCUCAACCCGGGAAGUGCAUCCAAAACUACGUAGCUUGAGUGCGGGAGAGAAAGGCAGAAUUCCUGGUGUAGUGGUGAAAUACGUAGAUAUCAGGAGGAACUCCGGUGGCGAAGGCGGCCUUUUGGCCCAGCACUGACACUCAGACCCGAAAGCGUGGGUAGCAAACAGGAUUAGAAACCCUUGUAGUCC
rnacentral:rRNA from 1 species